UCUCGGGUAGCAUAGUGGUGAGUAUCCCCACCUAUCACAUGGGAGGCCAGGGUUAAAUUCCCCGCCAAGAGAA